AUUGAACGCUGGCGGCAUGCCUUACACAUGCAAGUCGAACGGUAACAGGUCUUCGGAUGCUGACGAGUGGCGAACGGGUGAGUAAUACAUCGGAACGUGCCCGAUCGUGGGGGAUAACGAAGCGAAAGCUUUGCUAAUACCGCAUAAGAUCUACGGAUGAAAGCAGGGGACCGCAAGGCCUUGCGCGAACGGAGCGGCCGAUGGCAGAUUAGGUAGUUGGUGGGAUAAAAGCUUACCAAGCCGACGAUCUGUAGCUGGUCUGAGAGGACGACCAGCAACACUGGGACUGAGACACGGCCCAGACUCCUACGGGAGGCAGCAGUGGGGAAUUUUGGACAAUGGGCGAAAGCCUGAUUCAGCCAUGCCGCGUGCAGGACGAAGGCCUUCGGGUUGUAAACUGCUUUUGUACGGAACGAAAAGACUCUGGUUAAUACCUGGGGUCCAUGACGGUACCGUAAGAAUAAGCACCGGCUAACUACGUGCCAGCCGCCGCGGUAACAC
rnacentral:rRNA from 1 species